CCUGAAAAGCUUUGUGAAUAUCCAAGGAGCCCGUACCGCAAACCGACACAGGUAGAUAGGAAGAAAAUUCUAAGGCCAACGGGAGAAGGGUAGUUAAGGAACUCGGCAAGUUGACCCCGUAACUUAGGGAUAAGGGGUGCUCUCGAAAGAGAGCCGCAGAGAAUAGGCCCAGGCGACUGUUUAGCAAAAACACAGCUCUAUGCUAAAUCGAAAGAUGAUGUAUAUGGGGUGACACCUGCCCGGUGCCGGAAGGUUAAGAGGAGGAGUGAGAGCUCUGAAUUGAAGCCCCGGUAAACGGCGGCCGUAACGAUAACGGUCCUAAGGUAGCGAAAUUCCUUGUCAGGUAAGUUCUGACCCGCACGAAUGGUGUAACGAUCUGGGCACUGUCUCAACUACCCGCCCGGCGAAAUUGUAGUACCGGUGAAGAUGCCGGUUACCCGCGACUAGACGGAAAGACCCCAUGGAGCUUACUGUAGCUUAAUGUUGAAUUUCGGUAUUUCAUGUACAGGAUAGGUGGGAGACUAAGAAGCAGGGGCGUCAGCUUCUGUGGAGUCAACCUUGGGAUACCACUCUUGAAGUGCUGGAAUUCUAACCUGCGGCCGUGAAUCCGGUCGGGGGACAUCGUUAGGUGGGCAGUUUGACUGGGGCGGUCGCCUCCCAAAGAGUAACGGAGGCGCUCAAAGGUUCGCUCAGCAUGGACGGAAACCAUGCUCUUGAGUGUAAACGCAAAAGCGAGCCUAACUGCGAGACUGACGGGUCGAGCAGUAACGAAAGUUGGAGUUAGUGAUCCGGCGGUAUGUGAGUGGAAAUGCCGUCGCUCAACGGAUAAAAGCUACCCUGGGGAUAACAGGCUGAUCUCCCCCAAGAGUCCACGUCGACGGGGAGGUUUGGCACCUCGAUGUCGGCUCAUCGCAUCCUGGGGCUGUAUUCGGUCCCAAGGGUUUGGCUGUUCGCCAAUUAAAGCGGUACGCGAGCUGGGUUCAGAACGUCGUGAGACAGUUCGGUCCCUAUCUGUCGUGGGCGUAGGAUAUUUGAAAGGAGCUGUCCCUAGUACGAGAGGACCGGGAUGGACGCACCUCUGGUGCACCAGUUGUCACGCCAGUGGCACAGCUGGGCAGCUAAGUGCGGAUCGGAUAAACGCUGAAGGCAUCUAAGCGUGAAGCCGUCCUUAAGAUAAGAUAUCCCAUCAGGUCAACUGAGUAAGACCCCUCAAAGACUAUGAGGUUGAUAGGCCUAAGGUGUACGCAUGGUGACAUGUUCAGCCUGCAGGUACUAAUCGGUCGAGGGCUUGACC
rnacentral:rRNA from 1 species